UAUCUUUGUAAGCCACCUUAAUUUCUUUUUGAAUCAAGGUGGGACAUAAAUAAAUUGAUUUUUUCCCUUUGUGUAGAAGUUAUUAACUUUGCUGAAGAAGAGAAGGGGCAAAGGAAGACAAAAUAUAGACUUUGGCAAUGUAUGGCUGAUUUUAAGAGACCUUGGGGAUACCUUGUGAAGAGAAGACACUAUUUCUAUCCCACAUUGUAUAGUUUUAGUUUUAUGUACAGCACAAGGCAAUUGCACAAUGUCAACACUUUUUAUUAUGUUACAUCCAUUAUUUUAAUGCUACAAAAUAUUUAAAAAUAAAAAGCAAAAGAAUGUAACUGGACCAGAAGAAGCUUAGCUUUUACUUAUGGUUAGAACAUUAGGAACAAGGAAAAUUGACAGAACUGUAAACAUAUAUGGAAAACAUGAUAUCAAGUAGAGAGAAUGACCUCUUGCUGCUGAAUUAUGUUUUGAGAUAUGAGGUCCCUCCCUCUCCCCAUACUCCUCUCUUUCACAGAGUAAAUUAUCAAUUUUUCAUGAAAGGUAGAUUCUCAUGAGACAGAGAAAUAGAUGAAUGCUAGAUAGGAGCAAAUAAUCACAAUUUUUCUAAGAACUAAGACUUGAGUUGAAUAGUUUAUUCAGAAAUGCAGUUGCAUUGUAUCAUGCUCUGACAAAAUUAUGAUAAUAGUCAAUCUGAACACAGACUAUUUCUGUAUUUGCUAUUGCUACCCCUGAUCUACAUAUCAAGUACAUUUAACUAAAAGAAAAGAAGAAUGACAAAGGAAAAUACACACACACACACACACACACACACACACACAGACACAUCCAUUUAAAUUUUGUACAUCUUUACAAAUGCAGUUAUCAUUACUUUUGUUACCUUAUCACUCUCCAUGAUUGCUCUCUUUCAGUCAAGUACAAAGGCAGUCUGAAUAUAAAUGUUUUGUCAUAAAACUGCUAUUCAAACAAUAAAAAGGGUUAUAAUAGUACUAAAAAUAAUUUACCCCCAAGACUGCCACAUAGACUGGCAGUGUGCAGACUGAGGGGCACAAAGCACCUCCGUCCAUACUCUAACUAUCCUCUGAACUCUUCCACUGCAUCUGUAUUCACAGCUGCAUGAUUUAACAGACAAUUAAGAUAGCAUCACAUGGUUAGGAUAUCCAGAACCAUUUUUGCAUAAGAUUUUAUAAAAGACACAAGUUAUUUUUAGCAAUAUUACCAUCACUGCACCUAAGAAACAUGGGAUAAAUUUGAUUGAGAGUUAGUGUCUUUCAAAAUGAAAGUCACUUUUAAGUUUAUGGAUAAUUAUGUAACAUAUGUAUAUAUAUAUAUAUAUAUAUACACAUAUAUACAUACAAGUAUAUAUCAUGAACACAUCACAUAGACACAUAUACCUAUCUGGGACAUAUAUGUAUAUAUCAUACAUAUACACAUAUAUAUAUCCUGUGUACAUACACACACAUGAACACAUAUAUCCUCUAUAUCAUACAUACAUAUACAGAUAUAAAAUCUUUACUCUGAAAAUGCUUAUGUUGGCAUCAGAACUGGCUGUGCACUGCCACCCAGGGGCUGUCUACAACAUUUUAAGACUGGUAUCUUGCCAAAAGGCAUUCAAAGUCAUUACCGAAUACAUCCUGGACAGUCCUUCAUGGUAGCUGUUAGCAUUCCCAUUGCAUUUUUCUGUAGCUUUGGUGUCAUUUCCCAUAGCCUGAGUGCACAUUUCAGAGAAAGGCAGAGAAAAGGAAGAGAGAAAAGAAUGCCAAACAAGCAAAAGACCACCUAGAAAGAAAUAAACAAAUUAUACUGACAAGGUUGACAAGAAUGAAUAAGAAAAAGGGAAAAAAGGGAAGAAGGAGGUUUAUCAGGGCUUCAUGCCCACUGCUCUGGGUAAAUAUUCUUUCUUGCAACAAUAAAGACAAAUAAAGUACAAAGAAAGGAUAAAACAGAAGAUUACAGACCUGGCCGGUGUUUGAUAAAUGGCACUCUACUUCACUCUGCUUAUUGUGUACUUCAUACCUCGCUCCUGAAUAUGGAAGAGAAUUUUAUUAAAGAUUUAGCCACGGUGGUGGUGGUGACUGGCUCACAGUAAUUUUCCUACAAAGUAGUUUAAUCUAUCACAGGGCAGACAGUGCACCUUCUUACCAUGUAUCAUAUCUGUCUAUUGAGUAAGUGCUAUCCAAAUCCAAUUUCUUUUCAUUUUUGGAACCUGUGAUGCAUAUUCAAGAUACACUUUCGUUUUGUCUUUGUCCUAAAUCAGGUGCUGUAUUAAGAUUGGGGCCGGGGGGUAGUAUUAAUAAAAAGAAAAUCUGCACUCUAUGGUUUCUAUAUCAUUCUGGUCAUUUUUUGUAUUUUACAAAAAUAAAUUGCAUAAUUUCAAUGGCAUAUAAUAUUGGCCACAUGUGGAAUCACCAAGACCUUUUCAUAUUUAUGGAUAUGAAUAUGAAGCACUGCACCACUGAUUAUGGAAUGAACUUAGAAAAUCAUUACAGUCAAGUUCCGGUUUUGAGCUUUGUGGAGCACAUAGGGGUUGUUCCAUUCAAUAAUGAGAUGACUCGUGCAAUAAUAGGGAAACUAUUUCAACCAAAAUCAUUCAGCAGUUCAUUAUGUGAUAAAAUGUAAAUCCAAAAGUGUCAUAAGCAAGGUACCUUCAGAGUGCUCUGUUACAGAAUCACAUAAAUUAGAAAAGCCUCAUGAGGUCACUCACUUCAUCUGUUUCUGGUAACAGAGUGCUCUCAGCAAAAUAUUUUCAAAUAUAGAGUCCAUGCUCCAUCAUGAGAUUCUAUUAUUUCUCCUCUCAUUGCAUUUCUUUAUUUCACUGUGAUGAAUUGUUUUCUAACCUGACAAUUGUUUCCUUUAAUUGUUAUUGGCCUUUUUGUAACAAAUAAGUUCUUCUUCCCUUAUUCAACUGUAACAAAGCCUUCACACUAGUCACAUUCUGCUUAUAGACUCUCCUUAAAACUGACAUUACAUGCAUAUUUUUUAAUUAUAAGGCUAAUUAGCAUAUAACUUGGCCAGAAAUUUUUACAUUUAGAAUCUCAAACUAUUAUUGUUCUAUAGUCCCUUGGAGAAUGCAUAAGUCCCAGGCACAGUCAAUUCCCAUCUAUCAGCAAUUUAAAAGAUACAUCUUUUCAGUUUCCAAGCUGUUUCCACCCUCAACAUUUUGGACCCUUUCUCGUUUGGUCCCAAGUACAAACAUAAGAUUUUUGGAAGUUUCAAAGUAGUUCUUUAUUAGAAAAACUUUGAGUCCUCUCCAACCUUGACCAAGUCCUUCAAUUUAAAGGUGAAAAAAUAACUUAAUCCCAGGAAGUAAUUUAUCUAUAUGGUCAAACACUGACUGAUUUACAUUUAGACAGAAGAGAGAGAUUUUAAAUUUAAAAGACCUAUUUUCAGAUCCUGCUUCUGCAGUUAAUUAGUCCUAUGACCUUGGGUAAACCAUUAGCUUUCUGAGCCUCAGUUACUUGUCUGUAAAAUGGAAAUAAUAAUACUGAGCACAUGAGUUUGUUACAUUAAUCAAGAUGAAGUGUAUAAAUUCUAUUAUCACAAUGCCUGGCACACAGUAAGUCUUCAAUAAAUGAUAUCAAUCAGUCACAAAACCAAGCCCAGAAACCACUGCGUAAGAGAAUGUCUUGAGCCACAUUUACUCAUGCCACCUAACAUCUCUCAUCACCUAUGUAUUAUAAAGCAGUGCUUAUGAUAAAGACAAAAUUAAGCUUUCACUAACACUAGGUAAAAGGUAUACAUUUAUCAAAACAAAGUUUAUUACAACUAAAGAGUUUUUUUUUUAGGUCUGAUUAUAGAAAACAAAACAAGUUAGAUAAUGCGCCACACACACACACAAAUUUAGCCCUGGGUUUGGGAGAAAUGAGGAGAUAAUAAUCAGUAAUACCAGAAAGAAUCUAAUUUUUCAUUUUCUAAAAAAUAUUGAUGCUAAAGUGUUUAUGUAAACAUUUCUUAACAUAAAUGAAUACUAUUACAUGAUCUUUAUGUAAGUUUGUUUUAAAAUAAAAUGCAUUUUUCAUAUUACAAAAAUAAUGCAUGUAGUGAAGAAAAUUUUCAGAGUAUAUAAAGAUUAAAAAAUGUAUAAUCCUACUAUCCAGAAAUGAUUGCUUUUAAUAUUGGUGGAAAAUCUUAAAAUAUUUUAAAUGUAUAUUUCUUAAUUAUUUCAUAUAAAAUUAGGUGAUAUCCAACUUUCUUCCCAAUUAUAAAGGAUGAACAUAUGCACAUACUAUUAUAUACCCUUGAAAACAUAAUUUUUAAGUGGCAUAUCAUAGGGAUUUGUCAGUACUUUAACUCCUCUCCUAUUCUAAUACAUUUAUGCUGUUUUCAAUAACUCUGAAAUAAGCGUUUUUAUUUCUGUGCAUUUCUCUUGGAUUAGAAUUUUCAGUCACUCAUUAACCUGAAAACUGCUUGAAGCCACAGCUCUUAUCCAACUUGUAUUUGAUUUUACUGUUGUUAUAGUGUAGAUAUUCAGUAAGAACUACUCUAAAAAAAUGUCCUUAUUAAUUUUCAGCAAAAACAUUUCCCUUUACAAACACUAUGAAACUAAUUCACAAUCUGGGAUCUAUACUACUCUGAUUUCUUUAUAUUUUUAUAAUAAGUUUUGCAUAAAAAAUUUAAUAAUUACUGCUAACUAUCCCCCAUUUGGAAAUUUCCUCUAUAAACUAUAGAUCUUCAUAAAUAUCAAUACAAGCAAGAUAUGUCUAAAAAUUAAACUGUUUUGAUAGUCACUAUAGUGCCUAUAUACCUAACAAGAAGAGACCAAAAUGUUGGCAG
rnacentral:lncRNA from 1 species